rnacentral:rRNA from 1 species
CAGUCCUUUACUGACGCUAAUGCUCGAAGGUGCGGGUAUCGAACAGGAUUAGAUACCCUGGUAGUCCGCACGGUAAACGAUGGAUGCCCGCUGUUGGCGAUACAUUGUCAGCGGCCAAGCGAAAGCGUUAAGCAUCCCACCUGGGGAGUACGCCGGCAACGGUGAAACUCAAAGGAAUUGACGGGGGCCCGCACAAGCGGAGGAACAUGUGGUUUAAUUCGAUGAUACGCGAGGAACCUUACCCGGGCUUGAACUGCAGCGGAAGGAUACAGAGAUGUUGACGUCCUUCGGGACCGCUGUGGAGGUGCUGCAUGGUUGUCGUCAGCUCGUGCCGUGAGGUGUCGGCUUAAGUGCCAUAACGAGCGCAACCCCUCUCUCCAGUUGCCAUCAGGUUAUGCUGGGCACUCUGGAGACACUGCCACCGUAAGGUGUGAGGAAGGUGGGGAUGACGUCAAAUCAGCACGGCCCUUACGUCCGGGGCUACACACGUGUUACAAUGGGUGGUACAGAAUGCAGCUGUCGCGCGAGCGUUGGCCAAUCAUUAAAUCCCCUCUCAGUUCGGACCGGAGUCUGCAACCCGACUCCGCGAAGCUGGAUUCG